UGCCAGACUCCUACGGGAGGCAGCAGUGAGGAAUAUUGGUCAAUGGGCGGGAGCCUGAACCAGCCAAGUCGCGUGAGGGAAGACGGUCCUAUGGAUUGUAAACCUCUUUAGGCGGGGAGCAAUGCCGGGCACGCGUGUCCGGAGGGAGAGUACCCGCAGAAUAAGCAUCGGCUAACUCCGUGCCAGCAGCCGCGGUAAUACGGAGGAUGCGAGCGUUAUCCGGAUUUAUUGGGUUUAAAGGGUGCGUAGGCGGAUUUUUAAGUCAGCGGUAAAAUGUCCGGGCUCAACCCGGGCCGGCCGUUGAAACUGGCUGUCUUGAGAUGUCGAGAGGUAUGCGGAAUGCGCAGUGUAGCGGUGAAAUGCUUAGAUAUUGCGCAGAACUCCGAUUGCGAAGGCAGCAUACCGGCGGCGAUCUGACGCUGAGGCACGAAAGCGUGGGUAUCGAACAGGAUUAGAUACCCCAGUACAG
rnacentral:rRNA from 1 species